GGCUCGGUGGUCUACGGGUUUGAUUCUCGCUUUGGGUGCGAGAGGUCCAGGGUUCAAAUCCCGGCCGAACCC
rnacentral:tRNA from 1 species